CACGGGUGAGUAACGCGUGGAUAAUCUACCCUCAGUUGGGAAUAACUCAUCGAAAGGUGGGGCUAAUACCGAAUGACACUGCAAGACUAUGGUCAAGCAGUCAAAGAGCGCCUCUGCUUGCAAGCGCUCGCUGAAGGAUGAGUCCGCGUACCAUUAGCUAGUUGGUAGGGUAAUGGCCUACCAAGGCGACGAUGGUUAGCUGGUCUGAGAGGAUGAUCAGCCACACUGGAACUGAGACACGGUCCAGACUCCUACGGGAGGCAGCAGUGAGGAAUCUUGCGCAAUGGGGCAACCCUGACGCAGCAACGCCGCGUGAGUGAGGAAGGUCUUCGGAUCGUAAAGCUCUGUCAGUUGGGAAGAAACGCUUGGAGGUAAAUAGCCUCUUUGCUUGACGGUACCAACAGAGGAAGCACCGGCUAACUCCGUGCCAGCAGCCGCGGUAA
rnacentral:rRNA from 1 species